GCGUUAUCAUGAUAAAUCCGGCAACACCAGUCAGGACCACAUAGCCGUAUUCCUUGGAGAGAACCACCAUCUUGACACUGCUGCUUUGCCCCGCAGACACUGAUGC